rnacentral:misc_RNA from 1 species
CGUAAAGGUGCAUGAGUGGUGUUUGGUUUGUUACGGGUAGUUGGCUCUUUGCUUGCGCAACAACUUCUACCUGGCAUACCUCUUCAGUCUUGUGUCAAUGCUUGUAUUGCAUUGAAUGCAUGGUGGGUUUCUUGUGUUGCAUGCCUAAUUAAUGGUAUCGCUWGAUGUAUUGGUUUUCCUUUCGUCUUGCGUCGCCUAUGCGAUGUGAGAUGAACCUAGAAGCAGCCUUUGUGACCCACUCUUUUGAUGCACACGCAUUGAUUUUGUGGCCCAUUGAGUGUUGCUUGGUCUCAUGGAUAUGGAACCUGGUGUGGGCAUGGAAUCUUAAUGGUUCCUUGUUUGCCCAAGUUUAGCUUUUCUAAAACGAUUGUCU